GUACAAGCCUGUGUGCCUGGCGGCGCUCCUCAUGUCACUCUCAUCUACUCUCCUUAAGCCACGUCCCUGCCAGGGCCAGAAAGCCUCCCCCCGCCCCCCGCCCCUUGCUGCUUCGUUAGGCUGGUAAGGCACGAAUUUCAGAGGACUGGAGGUGCUGCCAACUUAGCCCCUGGGGUCUGAACCAGAGAAAAGUUACAUCAGGACUGUUGUGCUGAUGUGCCAGAUGUUCGGAGAAAAAGUCAAGUUCUGUAUCUUCAACCAUAUGUGCCUGAUUCAUGGCACUUGCUCUCUUGUUGGUUAUAUCCUGCCCCGUGGGUCGAAUGGUUCAGUAAACUUAGUACCAAGAGCCAAACUCUGGGCUCGAAUGUUAUUGAACCAAAGAUUGGAAACGUUUGUCUGUGCGAGGGGGGUGGGUAGUUCAAAUGAGGAAAGUAGAGACAGUUUCUUAGGGUCUUGGGGUUUUUCAUAUAGCUACUUGGGCUCAUUUACUAGUGUUUGUUCUUUUUGUCCUCGCCUGUAUUUGAGCGCGUUAAUGCUCUUUCCUUCCAGAAACGUACCCCCUCCUCCGCUGGGUUGCUCCGCCCUCUCUGAUGAUUCUCUCCCUGUCUCCCACAUUCUCUCCCGGGGUGAUGCCUCCCUCCUCGCUUGUGGUUUCAGAUCUUCCUUCCCCUCUCCACCUUGCGCAUCUCAGCCAGGCUCCGCUGGCUGGGCCACAGGGCAUGUCCGCUUGCCUCUCUUGCCGUCAGCAUGUCAGACAGACCCCCUUAUGGCUGUGAAACCGCCUCGCCUCUCUUUCAUAAGUCCCGUCUUUUUGUCACUCACGAUUGCAAGGGGGGCAUUAUUCAGCUUUGAUCCUGUCCUUCCAUCUUCUUUGAAGGCUCCUCCCUUUGAAAUGUCACUUACAUAUCACUUUUCGCUGCCAUCACUUUAGUUUCCAGGCCAGGGGUCCAACUGGAGCUGUAGCCACCGGUCUACACCACAGCCACAGCAACGUGGGAUCCGAGCCGUGUCUGCGACCUACACCAUAGCUCACGGCAACGGUAGAUCCUUAGCCCACUGAGCGAGGCCAGGGAUCGAACCCGAAACCUCAUGGUUCCUAAUCAGAUUCGUUAACCACUGCGCCACAAUGGGAACUCCCAUUUUUGUUGAUUCUUAGUUUGUGUAUGUGUUCAUAAAAAUGUCUCCUAUCAGAACCCCAAAUCUAAACAAUUGAGCAUGUGAUCUGCACAAUAGCAUUUUUUGUUUGAUUGGUUGGUUGGUUGGUUUUGUUUUUGUUUUUCUGAUAAUGGGUAUUGGCCAAUAAGUACAGUUGAAAUAGACUGGGAGUGAAAGAGGAAACUUAACAUUUAUAUCUGACCGAGUUUGGUAAAUUUUUUGCAACUGUAUGGUGUUUUUCUUUCAGUAACUGUUCAGUUGACUCUUGGACAGAGGAGAAAAGUUUGGUUUCUACAUGUUAGCAUCCUCUGGUGAAGAUCAAAUUUCUUUUGAUGAUAUGCUUUCUUUUCACGUGAACUCUGAGAGGUGUGCUACUUCAUAAUUUUAUCCUAAUUCCCUGGGGUAAGAAUUGAAAAGCUGUCAAUGAAAUUUUGCAGAUAUUUUAGACUAAUCCUUAUGCUUGUUAAUCUGCUUUUAUAAAAAAGUCAUACUAGGUAUCUUAACGAGAUCAGUAGUGCAAAACUGACUGUGAGGGUAGAAUCAAACUGAAUCAUUUUUUUGCUUGGUUUACUUAAAAAUACGUAGUCAUGAGAGUCUUAAACCAUCUGCUGAAAAAAACAAUUCAGCCGGCCACAGACUGUCAAGUAAGAUUCCACAGUAUAUUAGGGGGUCAAUUUCUAAGAACCUCUUUUAAAAAGUAGAAGACUCAAGUAAGCUAGAUUUCUUUUAUGUGGUCUUGGCUGGGAGUGUUUCCUGAAACUUGUGCAUGACAAUUGGUGGAUGGAACCACAGAAUGAUGGCAUUCGGAGUCCUGGGAGAGAACUGAUGUCAUCAAAUAAAAUGGACUUUGAGCAUCUUAGGAAGAUCAGGAUGCUAAGGGCCCCUGGGGAAGUAACUUUGACAAAAAGAAAUCCAAGAGAACUAUUCUUAAAACAAGUAAUGUUGUAAGGAAAAAACCCGAUAUUAGUACACAUAAAACGCAGAAUAAUAGAGUGUCUCCUCUGGCCUUGGAGGUGUAUCAAUACCUUGAGUCAAGUGAGAAAACCACAAAAUAGUGAAACCAGGCCAAAUUGCUGUAGAGAAUUAAGGGGAAAAAAGCAUCAGAUAGAGCCGGAAAAUCUAAUGCCAGAAGUCUUAAAAACUUGAUGCAUUUAGAAUGGAUAAGCAGUGAAAUCCUGCUGUGUAGCACAGGGAACUAUAUCCAGUCUCUUGGGAUAGAAUAUGAUGGAAGAUAGUGUGAGAAAAAGAAGGUGUAUAUGUGUAUGACUGGGUCACUUUGCUGUACGUUGGAAACGGACACAACACUAUAAAUCAACUCUACUCAAA
rnacentral:lncRNA from 1 species